AUGCUAGCCACGAUAUUCCCUGGCCAAGCCCAGCUCGGAGCCGUGCUAGCCACAAUAUUACCCGUCAAGGCCAACAGUCCCACGGUCUACCCCUUGAUCUCCUGCGAGGAAUGCAAGGACACGGUGACCUUCGGCUGCUUGGUCAACGAUUUCUUCCCCGAACCCGCCACCGUCACGUGGGUUUCCAGCGUGGCGGGGACCAGCGAGACCUUCCCGGCCACCCCUAACGCAGAAACUUCUACAGCCUCAGCACCGAGUUCACCGUCCCCUUCAGCAGCUUGGAGGGCAACACCUUCCAGUGUAAGGUCAACCACAACGGCAACACCAUCACCAAGGACAUCACAGGUGAGAAGGAGAUAUGUCAUGACGCUGUCCCCGUGGUCACAAAGCUCCUGAGCGACCCCAACAAGUACCAGCGCGAGGACAAGGUCCUGCUGAUGUGCCUCAUCGAGGGGAAGAACGCUGCCGACGCCGCGGUGCAAUGGUUUAUGAACCACGAUGCGGCGGACCUGCACCCGGUGGACUACUCCUGUGACAAGUGCACCCAAGACAAGGCCACCUUCACGAGCCAGGUCAACGUCAGCCGGCAGAGCUGGGACCUGGGGGCCGAGUUCUCCUGCCAAGUGACCCACAGCUCGCUGAAGGAACCCAGCGUCCUCAGCAUCAGCACCUUCUGCUCAGACAGCAGACCCGAAGUGGAGGUCACCAUCCUCCCCCCAUCCUUGGAGGACCUCUACCUCAGCCAGAACGCCAGCGUCACCUGCGUGGCCACCAACCUGAAGUCUCACGAGGACGUGAAGUUCUCCUGGAGCCGGGACACGGGCAGCGCUUUGGACGUCACCUCCGGGACGGCCGAAAAACUGCAGAACGGUCUUUACCGCCUCACCAGCACCCUGAAAAUCUGCGCCGACGAGUGGAACUCCGGGGAGAAGUUCACCUGCGCCGUCAACAUCCCCGAGCUCGACCACCCCGUCACCAAGUCUAUUAAGAAAGACAUAGACGUCUCCGUGAAGGCGCCUUCCGUCUACGUCUUCCCGCCGCCGGCUGAGGAGUUGGCCCGUCAGGAGACGGCCACCUUGACCUGUUUGGCUUUGGGCUUCCGGCCCCGGGAUAUCUUGGUGACCUGGACCCAGCAGGACCGUCCCGUGUCCCGCGGCAGCUUCUCCGUCUUCGGACCUCAGGAAGAAGGAGAUACCUACACGGUCUACAGCAAGUUGAGCGUGCCGGCAGCCGACUGGCAACGGGGCGACUCCUUCGCCUGCGUGGUUGGCCACGACGGCAUCCCCAUGAACUUCGUGCAGAAGAACCUGGACAAGACCAUCGGUAAACCCACCGCCGUCAACGUCUCGGUGGUCCUGGCCGACGCCGACGUCACCUGCUACGGAGCUUGA